rnacentral:rRNA from 1 species
CAGUCGCCACGGUAAUACGAAGGGUGCAAGCGUUACUCGGAAUUACUGGGCGUAAAGCGUGCGUAGGUGGUGGUUUAAGUCCGUUGUGAAAGCCCUGGGCUCAACCUGGGAAUUGCAGUGGAUACUGGAUCACUAGAGUGUGGUAGAGGAUAGUGGAAUUUCCGGUGUAGCAGUGAAAUGCGUAGAGAUCGGAAGGAACAUCUGUGGCGAAGGCGACUAUCUGGGCCAACACUGACACUGAGGCACGAAAGCGUGGGGAGCAAACAGGAUUAGAUACCCCUGUAGUCCCUGUCUCUUAUAU